GACCAGAUAGCCUAGUGGCUGAAGGCAGCACAACUAGUGAUGCUGAGGUCCUGGGUUCAAAUCCCAGUCUGGUCA
rnacentral:tRNA from 1 species